AACCGAAUAGGGGAGCCGGAGGGAAACCGAGUCUUAACCGGGCGUUAAGUUGCAGGGUAUAGACCCGAAACCCGGUGAUCUAGCCAUGGGCAGGUUGAAGGUUGGGUAACACUAACUGGAGGACCGAACCGACUAAUGUUGAAAAAUUAGCGGAUGACCUGUGGCUGGGGGUGAAAGGCCAAUCAAACCGGGAGAUAGCUGGUUCUCCCCGAAAGCUAUUUAGGUAGCGCCUCGUGAAUUCAUCUCCGGGGGUAGAGCACUGUUUCGGCUAGGGGGCCAUCCCGGCUUACCAACCCGAUGCAAACUGCGAAUACCGGAGAAUGUUAUCACGGGAGACACACGGCGGGUGCUAACGUCCGUCGUGAAGAGGGAAACAACCCAGACCGCCAGCUAAGGUCCCAAAGUCAUGGUUAAGUGGGAAACGAUGUGGGAAGGCCCAGACAGCCAGGAUGUUGGCUUAGAAGCAGCCAUCAUUUAAAGAAAGCGUAAUAGCUCACUGGUCGAGUCGGCCUGCGCGGAAGAUGUAACGGGGCUAAACCAUGCACCGAAGCUGCGGCAGCGAACGUAUCACUUAAAGCGAUUCAGCGGGUUACGAUUGACGGAGCGAAGCGACGUCAAAGCGUAUACAAAGUCGAGUCGGUUUAAGGAUACGUUCGUUGGGUAGGGGAGCGUUCUGUAAGCCUGUGAAGGUGG
rnacentral:rRNA from 1 species